rnacentral:rRNA from 1 species
AUUGAACGCUGGCGGCAGGCUUAACACAUGCAAGUCGAGCGAGCGGCGGACGGGUGAGUAAUGUCUGGGAAACUGCCUGAUGGAGGGGGAUAACUACUGGAAACGGUAGCUAAUACCGCAUACCAUCAGAUGUGCCCAGAUGGGAUUGGCUAGUAGGUGGGGUAAUGGUUCACCUAGGCGACGAUCCCUAGCUGGUCUGAGAGGAGGACCAGCCACAUUGGAACUGAGACACGGUCCAGACUCUGACGGGAGCAAGCAGUGGGGAAUAUUGCACAAUGGGGGAAAGCCGGAUGCAGCAAUGCGGCGUGUGUGAAGAAGGCCUUCGGGUUGUAAAGCACUUUCAGCGAGGAGGCGUUACUCGCAGAAGAAGCACCGGCUAACUCCGUGCCAGCAGCCGCGGUAAUAC